rnacentral:other from 1 species
AUAUUUCUAUGGUGUACGCAUUGUCUCAUCAAUGUAAGGUUGACCGAACACUUUUAGACAUGAGGAUCACGAUAUUUGGUGGCUGGCAGGCUCAUUUCACUUGAGAACCAAAAGCCAUCUUAAGUGAUCCGUUCCUGCUGAUAUUGCGGGUUCAACUACAAGAGACGAUUAACGGCACUAAUGGAGCAACG